rnacentral:rRNA from 1 species
UGGGGAAUUUUGGACAAUGGGCGAAAGCCUGAUCCAGCAAUGCCGCGUGUGUGAAGAAGGCCUUCGGGUUGUAAAGCACUUUUGUCCGGAAAGAAAUCCUUGGCUCUAAUACAGUCGGGGGAUGACGGUACCGGAAGAAUAAGCACCGGCUAACUACGUGCCAGCAGCCGCGGUAAUACGUAGGGUGCAAGCGUUAAUCGGAAUUACUGGGCGUAAAGCGUGCGCAGGCGGUUUGCUAAGACCGAUGUGAAAUCCCCGGGCUCAACCUGGGAACUGCAUUGGUGACUGGCAGGCUAGAGUAUGGCAGAGGGGGGUUAGAAUUCCACGUGUAGCAGUGAAAUGCGUAGAGAUGUGGAGGAAUACCGAUGGCGAAGGCAGCCCCCUGGGCCAAUACUGACGCUCAUGCACGAAAGCGUGGGGAGCAAAGCAGGAUUAGAUACCCUGGUAGUCCACGCCCUAAACGAUGUCAACUAGUUGUGGGGAUUCAUUCCUUAGUAACGUAGCUAACGCGUGAAGUUGACCGCCUGGGGAGUACGGUCGCAAGAUUAAAACUCAAAUGAAUUGACGGGGUCAUAGCUGUUU